UAGGGAAUCUUCCACAAAUGGGCGAAGCCNGAUGGAGCAACGCCGCGUGUGUGAUGAAGGGUUUCGGCUCGUAAAACACUGUUGUAAGAGAAGAAUGACAUUGAGAGUAACUGUUCAAUGUGUGACGGUAUCUUACCAGAAAGGAACGGCUAAAUACGUGCCAG
rnacentral:rRNA from 1 species